AGCCGCCGCGGGAACACCGGCGGCCCGAGUGGUGAUCGUGAUUAUGGGUCUAAAGGGUCCGUAGCCGGUUUGGUCAGUCCUCCGGGAAAUCUGAUAGCUCAACUAUUAGGCUUUCGGGGGAUACUGCCAGACUUGGAACCGGGAGAGGUAAGAGGUACUACAGGGGUAGGAGUGAAAUCUUGUAAUCCCUGUGGGACCACCUGUGGCGAAGGCGUCUUACCAGAACGGGUUCGACGGUGAGGGACGAAAGCUGGGGGGCACGAACCGGAUUAGAUACCCGGGUAGUCCCAGCCGUAAACGAUGCUCGCUAGGUGUCAGGCAUGGCGCGACCGUGUCUGGUGCCGCAGGGAAGCCGUGAAGCGAGCCACCUGGGAAGUACGGCCGCAAGGCUGAAACUUAAAGGAAUUGGCGGGGGAGCACAACAACGGGUGGAAGCCUGCGGUUUAAUUGGACUCAACGCCGGACAACUCACCGGGGGCGACAGCAAUAUGUAGGCCAAGCUGAAGACUUUGCCUGAAUCGCUGAGAAGUGGUGCAUGG
rnacentral:rRNA from 1 species